rnacentral:lncRNA from 1 species
AAGGACGAACUGUUAUGACACCACUAAUGUUAAAUCUCAAAUUCUCACUAAAACUUUUAUAAAUAAUGAGAACUGUAACACUUACAUUAUCUUCCACUAGGAAGUAUAAAGGAUGUCACACAUAUUACACAUUUUAAACUCAAAUUUCAACUUUCCACACAUAAAGAUAAUUUGAACUCCUCUCUACUAUUCUUCUACCUCU